AACUGGGAUUGCCUUAGUAACGGCGAGUGAAGCGGCAAAAGCUCAAAUUUGAAAUCUGGUACCUUUGGUGCCCGAGUUGUAAUUUGGAGAGUACCACUUUGGGACUGUACUUUGCCUAUGUUCCUUGGAACAGGACGUCAUGGAGGGUGAGAAUCCCGUGUGGCGAGGGUGUCAGUUCUUUGUAAAGGGUGCUCGAAGAGUCGAGUUGUUUGGGAAUGCAGCUCUAAGUGGGUGGUAAAUUCCAUCUAAAGCUAAAUACAGGCGAGAGACCGAUAGCGAACAAGUACAGUGAUGGAAAGAUGAAAAGAACUUUGAAAAGAGAGUGAAAAAGUACGUGAAAUUGUUGAAAGGGAAGGGCAUUUGAUCAGACAUGGUGUUUUGCGCCCCUUGCCUCUCGUGGGCUUGGGACUCUCGCAGCUCACUGGGCCAGCAUCGGUUUUGGCGGCCGGAAAAAACCUAGGGAAUGUGGCUCUGCGCCUCGGUGUAGAGUGUUAUAGCCCUGGGGAAUACGGCCAGCCGGGACCGAGGACUGCGAUACUUGUUAUCUA
rnacentral:rRNA from 1 species